AGAAACCCGCAUGCUGCAAUGAAGACCCAAUGCAACCAAAAAUAAAUAAAUAAAAUUGAUUCUUAAAAAAAAAUAAUAAAGAAGUGGAGAACACUUUAUGUAUGGAUAUGGAAUAAUUACAGGAACACAUUGUUUAGUAAAAAAAUACAAGCACAGAGCAAUGUGUUUAAUAUAUGAUCAUUUCUUUUAAAAGGGGGGAAAGAAUAUUUAUACAUAAUUACUUCUUUUGCACAAUGUAUCCAUGGAAGGAGGUAUAGAAAACAGGUAACAGUAGUUGCUUCUGGGAAGAGUAACUACAUGUUUGGGGAUCAAGAGUGGAGGAAGACUUUUCAUGGUAUGUUCUUUUGUAACAUGAGUUUUGGGCUUUUUGAAUAUAUGACCUAUUACAAAUAAAGAAAUAGAAUUAAAAACAAAUGUCCUGGCCUAGGCGAGGUGCAGUCUUAAUGAGCAGGAAGGUGGAGAUGACAGUUUAGGGCAGCAGUGGAGAGGUUGUUGAUAUUGGCUUUAGAAAAACCUGGAUUUGGAUCUGCACACUGACGCAGCUCCAGGUCUUCAGACAAGUUACUUCACCUCAUUGAAUCCCAGUUGACACAUGUAACUAGGGACUCUCCCUCCUCGUGGGGAAGACGGGUGACGGUGCAGGCAGGCACUUAGAGUACCUCUCUGUGCUGAAUCUCAGAAAGUGGCAGCUGUGCCACCAUGGGCCCUGGAAAAAACAAAGAGAAGGAGAGCUUGGGUGCUGUUCAUGUCUGGUCAGGAGUAGGAACGCCUCACUGCUUCUUGAUGCCUCACUGGUUCAGAGCAUCCCUGAGCAUACCUGUGCCGCUUGAAAACCUGGCGUCCUCUGAGUUGCCGGGGCAGGAGGAAGUAUGGAAUUCAUCACGCUGGCUGUGCUGGCUCAGUAGCAGCGCCCUCUUGCCUGGGCAGAGCUGGCCUCCACCGGGAACUGCUGGGCCCCACCAAAAGUCUCCAUCUGGCCAGAAACCCUGAGGGCAACCCCAGCCUUGCUCCAACUUGAAGGCUAUGUCUAUCUUCUUUUCUGCAAGGAGCUUUCAGUUGUCUUCAAAGACUUUCUCUCCAGACCAAAGGCGAUGACUUUCUGGAGGUUGCACUUUGUGUGACCCCCACAUCAGGUGGGGAGAGAGGCAGAGGGCUGCCAGGUGACCUGGCAGGCUGGAGUCAGAAGAUAUCUGUCCAAACUGUGAGCUCCAGGUCCUUCACUCCAACUCCCUUAGCCUCAGUUUUCUCAUCUGUAGAAUGGAGAUGCACCUGUGAUGAUCAAAUAUACAGUAAAAGCACUGUGUUAGCAGGAAAUCUGCCUGAAGCACACUUUCUUUUUCUUAGGAUGGUUGUGUUACAAACAGUUGUGGAGACUGAAAUGGGCCUCAAGUCAAGUCAAACCAAAACAGGAUCCUCCAGGGGUUUCAAAGGAACAUGAUGAGGCUGUGCUAGUUCUGCUCCUGCUGCUUGGGAGGGACCUAUGGGUGGGCAGGUGAGCACUGGGUAGGGAAGAGAGGCUGAGUGGGCUAGCUGCAGAGACUUUUCUGGGGUUUUUCUCCACUCAUUCAACAAUCAGGAAUGGGUAUCCCUUUAUUGGUUCUAUUGGGAGAUUCUAAGAAAAGAUAAGACAUGGGUGGCCCCAUCCUUGAGAAACCCUCAGGCAAAUGUGGGGGCAGAGAUCAUUCAGUCAUUCAACAAACACUUAUGGAGCCACUUGUGAAAAUGGUUGUGAAAGAUGCACAGAAUGGAUCAGCCAUGGUCCCUGCUUUCUAGAAGCUUAUAGUGUACCAGGGAAGAUCAUUCAUGGCACAUAAGGCUGUAUUUUCAUAAGAGAAAUUACCACUGUGCCAACUAAUUUUGUGAGAACUGAACGAACAUGGGGCAUGAGUGCUCAAGGCCAGGGAGGCUCAACUAAGAAAGGCUUCCUGAGGAGGCUGGAGCUAGGUUAGUGGGACCAGAACCAAGAGGCCACACUGAGGGGAGGGGGGGUGUCCCUUCAGGAGAGUGAUGUGUGACGAGCUAAGAGGGCUGCUGGUAGGUGGACUGAGGCCCUGGGGCAGUAUGGGCCCCUCUCCAAAGCUCCCAUCUGCCAUGCAGCUGUAUUGCUGCCUUGCUCUGUAGGGGGGAAUAAACUGCUUAUUAUUUUCCCCUCAGCCUCACCCAGGCAGCUCACCCUGCUAAACACCAGAGUGAAAGGGACCUGUAAACGUCUGGCAGGGGCUCACAUCAGAUCUGGCCACUGGAGUGGCAGGGCCUGGUUGGCUCCUGGCUCAUGCUGACCUCAGUCUAGCCAGAGGCACCAGGCACCUGGGUCACCUGCUUUGUGUCUGAGUUGAAACCUGCCCAUGUUGGGGAUGGCGACUCUGCCUCUGUCUGCUGGGUCUCUCUGUCCAGCUGGCCUGGUGGAUUCACAUAAAUAUUGAUUGUCUGCUCAGCCAUCUGGGAAGGGAGAGAGAGAGAGAGGGAGAGAGAGAGCGCGAAGCCGGGCAGUGGGGAGAGCCCUAUCAGGCAGCCCUGGAUGGAUAGAGUGCUCACACUGAAGGCUGACCAAGGCCCUCUUUGGCCUUCUCCCCGUAGGAGAGGCAGGAAUCCUAGGGUGGAGAACACCCUGGAGGUUGGUACACACCAAAUUCAGAAGAGUGCUAACCUCGAGCACUCAUGACGAGGAGCAUGCCAGCAGAGAGACCAAGGGGGUCUACGGUGGUAUUCGUGGUGGUUUAUUUCUUAAGCGAAGAAGGGCUACACGCCUGUUCCUGAUCUUGUUCUUUGUAUCCUUCUCUAUGUCUGAAUAGUUCAUAAUACAUUUUGUUUAGUGACAUUGAGAGUUCACUGACUCCUUCCUCAAGCCUGUAGGCAAGACUUCAGCAAUGUACUGGAAAUUGGUGAUGUUCUAGCCUAAGUUUAAAGCUUUGAAGAAGGAAUUCCCAAGACCCCAACACAACCCAGGCGGCAUCCUGCUACCUGCUCUUCCUCCAGCUUUGUCGGGGACGUUGUUCCUUCUCUGGGCUCUGGGCAGCAACCCUAUAGCAUUCCUGAAGUCCCCCAGUCAGACUGUAAACUCUGUGGGGGCAGAGACCCCUCCUGUGAUGGCGCUGGGCACACAGCAGGCACCUAAUCAGUGUUAGUUGAAACGCUGGGGAAAAAUCAGCCCAGGUGAGGGUGCUUUCAUAGCUGGGGAAGCGUGACACAAAGGUCACAAGCUUUGGGGUCAGACCUGGAUUUGAACCUGAGCCCUGACACAUAUCAGCUGUGUGACAGGGGGGUGUCACUUCACCUCUCUACUCUGGGGUUCCCUGAUCUGUAAAAAGGCAAUAAUGAUAGUGCCUACCUCAUGGGGCAUUGCAUGGGUAAAUGAUCUGAUGUACAGAAUGCAGCUGGUCCAUAAUUGGUGCUAAAAUCCUAAAGUCCCCAGCCCCCAUCCUGAGCAGUUCAAUUCCCGGGAAGCUUCUUGAAGCUCCUGAUGGAGAUGUUCUUAUAUCUUUGUCCUUGUCUUAGUCUGUUUCUGUGUCGUCUCGUUUCUGAUUCUGUCAUAGCUCUUUUUUUUUUUUUUUUUCAGUUUUUCUUUCUCCCCUUUCUGUUUCUCUCAUUACCUUUCCCCCAACCCACUUUCUUAAUUAUCUUCCUCUCCACCCCCUCCCUCCCUUCUUCUUUCCCUCCUUCUUUCUCCUGAUUCCUACCCUCCAGGGCCUCUGUGUGACUGUACUUCUCACCUUGCUGGCUCUGUUUCACAUUCCUCUAUUCAAGGCAUAGGAUGACCCUCCUUAGUGCAUUCAAGGAAAUGAGCGAAAAGAAACCAGACAGGUAGCUGCUGUCCACGGAGGCCAUGUUUGAUAAUCAGUCAUUUCUGGGAACAGCUCUUAACUCUUGGAACCCAAAUGGCUCCUAUCCCAUGGUUAUUGCUCCUACUUCCCAAGGGCCCCAGUCUCCAUCAGGGUCCUCUGCAAACCAACAGCAAGGCCUUGAAAAUCGUGUCAUCCAGGCAAUGGACUCCUUCUCUGAGUCCACUCCCAGGUCCGGAUUCUGCAGGACCCUGGAGGGAGGGGACGUUGUUUGGAGGAUUAGGAAGCUCUCAUCUAAUGGGAGAGUCAGCACUCUCAUGAGUCAGACCUGACACAAGCUCAGAAAACAAGCAAUAAAUAGAAAGCAAUUUUCUUCCUGAGCACUGAAGAGCCGUGCCAUUUAGAACAAAACAGAUUUAAUCAGAGAAGACUUCUUGGAGGAGGCCAAAGAGACCCCUGUGACUGGCAGCCCUGGCUGAGAUUGAGGAGAGAGCCGCUGGAGGUCAGGCAGCUUGACACCAACCAAGAGGUGAACCAGUUUUCGGGUAGCAUCUGUAAGGCAUGCCCAGGUGGUACCAUCAGGAGCGGUGGUAUGUAACCCUCAGCCCUCCGACAUCCUAAUUGUUACAGAAUGUCCUGCCUGGGCUCUGACCCUUCAAGCCCCAUCACCCUGUCUCAGGCCCCUCAAAAGCCUGAAAUUUUGUUGCCAGAGGUUCAAAGGUCUCAGGUUACAACAGAGGCGGGGCACCUGGAAGCACAGGCCCCAUGUCCCCUAACAAGACUUUCAGGAAAGAGGAGUCAGCUUUCAGCUCCAGUGCCAAGCUGUCUAGAAAGGGGGACCAGUGAGUGUCUUGCCCUCCCUAGAGAGCGGUAGCCCCUGUCUCCCAAGCUGUGCAGGGAGACAAUUCUUUCUGUCGGCCUGUGGAAGAAUGAACUCUGUUGCCCUCUGCACUUGAGGAAUUCCAUCAUCCUUAAAUUAUUUGUGUCAAUCGUUUGAAUCGAAAGAGAAUUUUAGAGCUGGGAGAAUUUGUUUAUAUUGUUGCAAUUUAUAAUGCUCAUUUUGUCACAGCAGUUUGCCUAUACAAAAGGAUGACCUAACAUUCACUUAUGGAGAGAGAAAACAAAACGCAAACUAAGGGGGCUUCCCUGGUGGCGCAGUGGUUGGGAGUCUGCCUGCUAAUGCACGGGACACGGGUUCGAGCCCUGG